UACGAAGGGGGCUAGCGUUGCUCGGAAUCACUGGGCGUAAAGCGCACGUAGGCGGCUUCUCAAGUCAGAGGUGAAAUCCUGGAGCUCAACUCCAGAACUGCCUUUGAUACUGAGGGGCUCGAGUCCGGGAGAGGUGAGUGGAACUGCGAGUGUAGAGGUGAAAUUCGUAGAUAUUCGCAAGAACACCAGUGGCGAAGGCGGCUCACUGGCCCGAUACUGACGCUGAGGCACGAAAGCGUGGGGAGCAAACAGG
rnacentral:rRNA from 1 species